GCAAGUCGAACGGCAGCGCGGGGCAACCUGGCGGCGAGUGGCGAACGGGUGAGUAAUAUAUCGGAACGUACCCAAGAGUGGGGGAUAACGUAGCGAAAGUUACGCUAAUACCGCAUACGAUCUAAGGAUGAAAGCAGGGGACCGCAAGGCCUUGUGCUCCUGGAGCGGCCGAUAUCUGAUUAGCUAGUUGGUAGGGUAAAGGCCUACCAAGGCUACGAUCAGUAGCUGGUCUGAGAGGACGACCAGCCACACUGGAACUGAGACACGGUCCAGACUCCUACGGGAGGCAGCAGUGGGGAAUUUUGGACAAUGGGCGCAAGCCUGAUCCAGCAAUGCCGCGUGAGUGAAGAAGGCCUUCGGGUUGUAAAGCUCUUUUGUCAGGGAAGAAACGGUGGGAGCUAAUAUCUCCCACUAAUGACGGUACCUGAAGAAUAAGCACCGGCUAACUACGUGCCAGCAGCCGCGGUAAUACGUAGGGUGCAAGCGUUAAUCGGAAUUACUGGGCGUAAAGCGUGCGCAGGCGGUUUUGUAAGUCUGAUGUGAAAUCCCCGGGCUCAACCUGGGAAUUGCAUUGGAGACUGCAAGGCUAGAAUCUGGCAGAGGGGGGUAGAAUUCCACGUGUAGCAGUGAAAUGCGUAGAGAUGUGGAGGAACACCGAUGGCGAAGGCAGCCCCCUGGGUCAAGAUUGACGCUCAUGCACGAAAGCGUGGGGAGCAAACAGGAUUAGAUACCCUGGUAGUCCACGCCCUAAACGAUGUCUACUAGUUGUCGGGUUUUAAUUAACUUGGUAACGCAGCUAACGCGUGAAGUAGACCGCCUGGGGAGUACGGUCGCAAGAUUAAAACUCAAAGGAAUUGACGGGGACCCGCACAAGCGGUGGAUGAUGUGGAUUAAUUCGAUGCAACGCGAAAAACCUUACCUACCCUUGACAUGGAUGGAAUCCCGGAGAGA
rnacentral:rRNA from 1 species